rnacentral:pre_miRNA from 1 species
UCCUUCAGUCCACUCACGGGCGGUGCUAGGAUCGAAUUAGCUGCCGACUCAUUCAUCCACUUGCCGAGCAAAGUUAUUUGCCGAGGAGCUUAGCAGGUGAGUGAAUGAAGCGGGAGGUAAAGUCUUUGAUCUCGCACCGUCGUUGCUUGGACUGAAGGG